GCACUUUCGAUCUGUUCUCCCCUCUCCAAAGACGAGUGAGAUGGCCUGAGGGUGAGCUCGGCUCUUUGCCUGGCUAGGAGAAGGAGAAGCGAACACCGUCGGGGAGGAGAGCACGUAGCCCUGCUCGGAGAAGCGACUACCGUUGAGGAGGCGGAGGAACACGCAGAUCUUCUAUUCUUGUCCAACUUCUUCUCCAUCUGCCAUUCUGGCCGGAUGCUCUCGGUCUGCUCACAGUGAAAUAACCUUGCAGCUCCGGAGCGAAGCUAUUCCACGCAAUGUCCGACAUGUCUGAUGACGGGGAAUCCAUGGAAGCAGCUGUGGACGGCGGCGAGGACCGUAUCGGCGCCCUACAGGACGACCUCCUCAAGUACCUGAUGUCGUUCCUGCUUUCCCGCGAGGCCGUGAGGACCUGCGUCCUCGCCAAGCGCUGGCGCACGCUUUGGAAAUCCGUGCCAGCCCUGCGCAUCGACGACCCCGAGAGCUUCAAGGGUGCACGUGGCUUGAGCACGUUUGUCGACGACCUGAUUCGCCACCGCGACCCAACCCCUCUGAAUGUAUGCGACAUCAAUUUGACCCGAGCCAUAGGGAAUUCCGGCGCAUGGAACCGUGGCUCCAGUAUGCUGUAUCGCGUCAAGUUCAGGUGCUACGAGUUCGUUUUAUGUGCUGCGUACUCAAUAUGACUCUCACAUCCUCACACUUGAAGAGGUUUUCUGUGACAUCAUCUUUCAUGGAUGCAAUCUGGAUUUCUCGAGCUGUCAGGUGCUAGAGGUGUUGGAGUUCAGUAACUGUCAGAUCUCCGUGAAUAUCUCGUCCAAAUCAGUACAACAUCUAAAGAUCCAUCGCUCGCUUUUUCGCAUGAAUGCCCGCAUACACAUAUUUGCACCAAACCUUAUUGGUAUUCAACUAGCUGCUGUCAGCGGUUUCGCUCCUUUCCUUGAAUGCAUGCCGUCACUAGUAACCGCAUCUAUUAAGCUUGGAGGAGCGCGCAUGGGAGCAUGCCUGGACGGUUGUAGCUGUGGCAAUCAAUCAUGUGAGGGAUGCGAUGUUCAAACCGGAAGCAAUGACUGCUCUGUGGUUCUCAAAAGUUUGUCAGGCGCUAUGAAUUUGGAGUUAACAACAACUGAUAAUAUGUUUAUUUUCAGAAAUUAUUUGAAAUGCUACCCGUUUUUUGCCAAGCUAAAAACGCUGCUGCUCAAUGAGUGGUGUAUGGUUGAUAACUUCACUGUACUGGUUUACUUUCUUCACCACUCACCAAUUCUAGAGACGCUUACGCUGCAGCUUCAUUUUGAAACUCGGGAGGAACAGCAUGUUACCAAGACAGAUGAAAUCUACAAUUCAAGUGUACCAUCAAUUAUAUCAAAGCAUCUCAAGGUAGUCAAAAUCAUAUGUGACACAAAGGAAGAUGCAAGGGUUCACCAUAUUUUGAAGGUUCUGCGUACCCAUGGAGUACCUUCUGAGCAAAUUGACAUCCAAUAGACUCAGUUUGCCUGCUUUCAUUUCGAGCUGGAGGCGUUUAGUUGAGCCGGUCUACCUCGUCCCUGGUUAUUCGAACUUUUAUGUCCCUGGAAGUAGUACCUAUUCAUAUGAACUCGUAUGUAUUUUGCUGCGUAUCUUGUUGCCUGGAUGCACUUGAAGUGUGGUGAAGUGGCACCGUAGUCUGCUAGUGCACUUUUACUUCGUCUGAACCUGUCUAGUGUUGUGUCAGAUUAUGCUAAUAUGUAACCAUCUUAUUGUCUGGACCUCUUUCUUAGCUUCCUUGUUGGUUGAA